rnacentral:rRNA from 1 species
GAUGAACGCUGGCGGCGUGCUUAAUACAUGCAAGUCGAGCGAACAGGCGAGGCUCUUGCUGCUUUGACGUUAGGGGAGGACGGGUGAGUAACACGUGGGUAACCUACCUAUCAGACUGGGAUAACCUCGGGAAACCGGAGCUAACACCGGAUAAUAUCUCGAACCGCAUGGUUCGAUAGUGAAAGAUGGCUCUGCUAUCACUUAUAGAUGGACCUGGGCCGUAUUAGCUAGUUGGUAAGGUAACGGCCUACCAAGGCAACGAUACGUAGACGACCGGCGAGGGGGAUCGGCCACAUGGGAGCGGGGACACCCACAAGGGUACUGCGAGAGGCAGCAGUAGGGUACCGGCCGCAGUAGGCGAAAACCUUACGGAGUAACGCCACGUGAGUGAUGAAGAUGUUGCGAGCGGAAAAAUCGGUUACGAGUGAUGAACCACCUUCUAAUUAACUGAGCACGGCUUGACGGUACCUAGUCAGAAAGCCACGGCUAACUACGUG